rnacentral:tRNA from 1 species
CAGAGAAUAGUUUAGUUUAGAAUUCUAGCUUUGGGAGUUAGAGGUGGAAGUUAAAAUCUUUUUUCUCUGGCCUCAGGGGGGAUUUUAACCUCCGAUCUCCGGAUUACAAGACCGGCGCUUUGAGUUAAGCUACUGGGGCAGUUUCAUUCU